UUCGGUAAAGAGCGGCGGACGGGUGAGUAACGCGUGGGUAACCUGCCCUGUACACACGGAUAACAUACCGAAAGGUAUGCUAAUACGAGAUAAAAUACUUUUAUCGCAUGGUAGAAGUAUCAAAGCUUUUGCGGUACAGGAUGGACCCGCGUCUGAUUAGCUAGUUGGUAAGGUAACGGCUUACCAAGGCGGCGAUCAGUAGCCGACCUGAGAGGGUGAUCGGCCACAUUGGAACUGAGACACGGUCCAAACUCCUACGGGAGGCAGCAGUGGGGAAUAUUGCACAAUGGGCGAAAGCCUGAUGCAGCAACGCCGCGUGAGCGAUGAAGGCCUUCGGGUCGUAAAGCUCUGUCCUCAAGGAUGAUAAUGACGGUACUUGAGGAGGAAGCCCCGGCUAACUACGUGCCAGCAGCCGCGGUAAUACGUAGGGGGCUAGCGUUAUCCGGAAUUACUGGGCGUAAAGGGUGCGUAGGUGGUUUCUUAAGUCAGAGGUGAAAGGCUACGGCUCAACCGUAGUAAGCCUUUGAAACUGGGGAACUUGAGUGCAGGAGAGGAGAGUGGAAUUCCUAGUGUAGCGGUGAAAUGCGUAGAUAUUAGGAGGAACACCAGUUGCGAAGGCGGCUCUCUGGACUGUAACUGACACUGAGGCACGAAAGCGUGGGGAGCAAACAGGAUUAGAUACCCUGGUAGUCCACGCUGUAAACGAUCGAAUACUAGGUGUGCGGGGACUGACCCCCUGCGUGCCGGAGUUAACACAAUAAGUAUCGCACCUGGGGAGUACGAUCGCAAGGUUGAAACUCAAAGGAAUUGACGGGGGCCCGCACAAGCGGUGGAUUAUGUGGUUUAAUUCGAAGCAACGCGAAGAACCUUACCGGGCCUUGACAUCCUCCCGAAUAGAGAGUAAUGUCUUUAGCCCUUCGGGGCGGGAGAGACAGGUGGUGCAUGGUUGUCGUCAGCUCGUGUCGUGAGAUGUUGGGUUAAGUCCCGCAACGAGCGCAACCCCUGCCGUCAGUAGCCAGCAGGUAAAGCUGGGCACUCUGAUGGGACAGCCUGGGAUAACCAGGAGGAAGGCGGGGACGACGUCAAAUCAUCAUGCCCCUUAUGGCCGGGGCUACACACGUGCUACAAUGGCGUAAACAGAGGGAAGCGAGACAGCGAUGUAGAGCAAAGCCCAAAAAUAACGCCUCAGUUCGGAUUGCAGCCUGCAACUCGGCUGCAUGAAGCCGGAAUCGCUAGUAAUCGCGAAUCAGAAUGUCGCGGUGAAUACGUUCCCGGGUCUUGCACUCACCGCCCGUCA
rnacentral:rRNA from 1 species